GUCCACGCCGUAACUAUGGGUGCUAGCCGUCGGGAGCAUGCUCUUCGGUGGCACAGCAAACGCAUUAAGCACCCCGCCUGGGGAGUACGGUCGCAAGAUUAAACUCAAAGGAAUUGACGGGGCCCGCACAAGCGGUGGAGCAUGUGGUUUAAUUCGAGGCAACGCGAAGAACCUUACCAGCCCUUGACUUCCCGGUCGGGGCUCCGGAGACGGAGCUCUUCAAUUGGCCGGUGACAGGUGCUGCAUGGCUGUCGU
rnacentral:rRNA from 1 species